GCUGGAAUCGCUAGUAAUCGCAGAUCAGAAUGCUGCGGUGAAUACGUUCCCGGGUCUUGUACACACCGCCCGUCACACCAUGGGAGUUGGAAAUGCCCGAAGUCGGUGACCUAACCGAAAGGGAGGAGCCGCCGAAGGCAGGUCUGAUAACUGGGGUGAAGUCGUAACAAGGUAAC
rnacentral:rRNA from 1 species